CCUACGGGGGGCAGCAGUGGGGAAUAUUGCACAAUGGGGGGAACCCUGAUGCAGCGACGCCGCGUGAGUGAAGAAGUCAUUCGUGAUGUAAAGCUCUAUCAGCAGGGAAGAAAAUGACGGUACCUGACUAAGAAGCCCCGGCUAACUACGUGCCAGCAGCCGCGGUAAUACGUAGGGGGCAAGCGUUAUCCGGAUUUACUGGGUGUAAAGGGAGCGUAGACGGCAGCGCAAGUCCGAAGUGAAAGCCCGGGGCCCAACCCCGGGACUGCUUUGGAAACUGUGAAGCUGGAGUGCAGGAGAGGUAAGUGGAAUUCCUAGUGUAGCGGUGAAAUGCGUAGAUAUUAGGAGGAACACCAGUGGCGAAGGCGGCUUACUGGACUGUAACUGACGUUGAGGCUCGAAAGCGUGGGGAGCAAACAGGAUUAGAUACCCGAGUAGUC
rnacentral:rRNA from 1 species